rnacentral:rRNA from 1 species
GGGAUUCCCUUAGUAACGGCGAGCGAACAGGGAACGGUCCAGCGCCGAAUCUCACGUCCGUCCAGGACGCUCGAGAAAUGUGGCGUUUAGGAGGAAGCGUGCCGGAGGCGGGCUCUGCAGCAAGUCCCCCUGACCGGGGCUCUUACCCAGAGCGGGUGCGAGGCCCAUAGUUGCUAGGCCUCCUCCGGAUGCGACCUCUCGGGAGUCGGGUUGCUUGGGAGUGCAGCCCUAAUCGGGUGGUAAACUCCACCUAAGACUAAAUACGGCCGUGAGACCGAUAGCAAACAAGUACCGUGAGGGAAAGUUGCAAAGAACUUUGAAGAGAGAGUUCAAGAGUACGUGAAACUGCUCAGAGGCAAACGGGUGGGCCCUCGAAAUCCUCUUGCGGGGGGAUUCAGUCGGAAGGGUCGGAGGUGCCAACGGUCGAUCGAAACGGACCUCCUCCAAGGCCGGGCCGCAGGCACGGUCUCCGACUCGCCCGACGCAUUUCCUCUCGCACUACGGACGCCGCAACCGGUCGGGUAGCUGCGCGAGUCGGCCACGAGGGCGGGCGCCGGCAGGUGGCCGGGGGUUUCGCUUCGGCGUCUCUCCCGGUUGUUAGCCAGCUCGCCCGUGGCGCGACACCCGACCGAGGUCGACCCGUUCCCGCUCGUGGGAACGCGCCGUCCCCUUUCCAGCGGGCGCUCCGGCAGGCGAACUGCGGUCGUCGCCGAGUCACUCUUCGUAGUGGCCGGCGCGUCGCGGACGCCGUUGGCCGGCAGUGAGUCCCGCGGGGGCGGUCCCGGGGUUGGCGGCGAGUAGGUCGGUCACCCACCCGACCCGUCUUGAAACACGGACCAAGGAGUCUAACAUGUGCGCGAGUCACGGGGUCUUGACCAGGCCCAGAGGCGCAAUGAAAGUGAAGGCCGCUCUCGCGGUGGCUGUGUUGGGACUCCGCUCGAAUUUUCGGGCGGAAGCACCAACGGCCCGUCCCGUCCGAUUUAUCGGUGGGGCGGAGUCGGAGCGUACACGUUGGGACCCGAAAGAUGGUGAACUAUGCCUGGGCAGGACGAAGCCAGAGGAAACUCUGGUGGAGGUCCGUAGCGGUUCUGACGUGCAAAUCGAUCGUCAGACCCGGGUAUAGGGGCGAAAGACUAAUCGAACCAUCUAGUAGCUGGUUCCCUCCGAAGUUUCCCUCAGGAUAGCUGGCGCUCGGAGGAAUCAGUCUCAUCCGGUAAAGCGAAUGAUUAGAGGCCUUGGGGCCGAAACGACCUCAACCUAUUCUCAAACUUUAAAUGGGUGAGAAGUCCGUCUUGCAUGACUGAAGACCGGACAUUUCAGGAUGUGAGCGCCCAGUGGGCCACUUUUGGUAAGCAGAACUGGCGCUGUGGGAUGAACCAAACGCCGGGUUACGGCGCCCGAUGCGAGACGCUCAUGAGACCCCAUGAAAGGUGUUGGUUGCUAUAGACAGCAGGACGGUGGCCAUGGAAGUCGGAAUCCGCUAAGGAGUGUGUAACAACUCACCUGCCGAAGCAACUAGCCCUGAAAAUGGAUGGCGCUCCAGCGUCGAGCCCAUACCCGGCCGCUGCGGCAGAGCUUUGUUGAGGCUUACGCCGCAGCGAGUAGGAGGGUCGCAGCGGCGAGCGUCGAAGGUGCCGGGCGCGAGCCCGCCUGGAGCCGCCGCUGGUGCAGAUCUUGGUGGUAGUAGCAAAUACUCAAGUGAGAACCUUGAGGACUGAGGUGGAGAAGGGUUCCAUGUGAACAGCAGUUGAACAUGGGUCAGUCGGUCCUAAGGGAUAGGAGAAAUCCGUUCCGAAGCGGGACGUUGUUACCUAGGCUCGUCCCGCUAGCGACCGAAAGGGAAUCGGGUCAAUAUUCCCGAACCCGGACACGGAGAUCGGGCCUUCGGGUCCAAGUGCGGUAACGCAACCGAACUCGGAGAUGUCGACGGGAGUCCCGGGAAGAGUUGUCUUUUCUUUGUAAGGGUCCGGGUCCCUGGAAUCGGCUCGUCCGGAGAUAGGGAUGCUGCUCCCGUAAAGCACCGCGGCUCUUGCGGUGUCCGGAGCGCUCCCGUCGGCCCUUGAAAAUCCGAGGGAGGAAGUGUGAUUUUCGUGCCGGACCGUACCCAUAUCCGCAGCAGGUCUCCAAGGUGAACAGCCUGAGCACUGAUUUUUCGAACGCGCAUUGCGGCCUCGGGUCCUGCCCGGGGCCU